UUUUCUGUGUCUCAAGUGCAGCCUCCUAAUUGUGACUCGAUGUUUAAAUUCAUUGGCAGAAGAAGUCUGCUCACUGAUUUUAUUUUUCUUGAACUGAAGAAGACAGCAGAAUGGAGUGACAGAGAGAAACUUUCUUUUAACCCAUUAUAGGAGAAGAAUUUUGGAAGACCAGUGUUUAGCUUUGGGCUGCUGUUUAUUCACAAGGGACCAAUUUCAGCCCUCAGUUACACAGAAAGGAAGAACACGGAGCAUGAUAUCUGUAAAUAUUUUGUUUUGUGCAUCUUGAGCCUAGCUGAAAAGCCCGACCAGACCCAUAACGGUAAACUUGCUCAAAUAUCACGUAUACAUGCAGAAAAGUGAAAAACCUAAUUAGUGUCACCUGAGAUGAAAGCUCUGCAAUCAUGACUGCAAUCUCAAAACAAUUAAUCAUCCACCUACAACUCUCACUUCCUGAAUAGAGUGUUGAUCCUCCCCAAAGAUACGGUUGAUAGCCUAUUUCCUGAGUGAAGCGAGCAAGGAGUGCAUUUUCAAUAUGAAGUGUUUCCAACAUCCUCAGAUAUUAAAUACACAGCUGGAUUGAUUCCCAGGUCCAUUAUCCUGUUUUUUUGGCUUGGAGGGAUGUGGCAAGACUCCAGCAAGGAGGUGGAGCGCCCUGUAAAAAUGCAAAGCUUUCAAGGCAUCCAGUUAGCUUCGACUCUGGAGGAAAUGUUAGGGGAGUCAGCUGAAAGAUGGGAUGGCUGGAAGCAACAGCAAGAGGAAAAGCCAGGUGUUUUUCAAGAUCUUUCUCAGGAUAUUUGCCCAAUGUCAAAAUAGACCUUCAAAUGCGGGGCACAUGGAUUAAAAGAAUUUGGACAAAGCUGUAUCCCAUUUUUCCCACUCCAAAUUCUCUGGAUCACUUUGCUUCGUUUUCUACAUUUUGGCCAUGCCGCCAAUUCAGUCAAAUGC